GACGAACGCUGGCGGCGUGCUUAACACAUGCAAGUCGAACGGUGAAGCUCCAGCUUGCUGGAGUGGAUCAGUGGCGAACGGGUGAGUAACACGUGAGCAACCUGCCCCUGACUCUGGAAUAAGCGCUGGAAACGGCGUCUAAUACUGGAUAUGAGAAGGGUCCGCAUGGACACUUUCUGGAAAGUUUUUCGGUUGGGGAUGGGCUCGCGGCCUAUCAGCUUGUUGGUGAGGUAAUGGCUCACCAAGGCGACGACGGGUAGCCGGCCUGAGAGGGCGACCGGCCACACUGGGACUGAGACACGGGCCAGACUCCUACGGGAGGGAGCAGGGGGGAAUAAUUCCCAAAGGGCGGAAGCCUUAUGCAGCGACGCCGGGUGGGGGAUGACGGCCUUUGGGUUGUAAACCCCUUUCAGCAGGGAAGAAGGGAAAGUGACGGUACCUGGAGAAGAAGCACCGGCUAACUACGUG
rnacentral:rRNA from 1 species